AACCAGACUCCUACGGGAGGCAGCAGUGAGGAAUAUUGGUCAAUGGGCGGGAGCCUGAACCAGCCAAGUCGCGUGAGGGAAGACGGUCCUACGGAUUGUAAACCUCUUUUGCCGGGGAGCAACGGGGUCCUUGCGAGGGCCCGAUGAGAGUACCCGGAGAAAAAGCAUCGGCUAACUCCGUGCCAGCAGCCGCGGUAAUACGGAGGAUGCGAGCGUUAUCCGGAUUUAUUGGGUUUAAAGGGUGCGCAGGCGGAGGUGCAAGUCAGCGGUAAAAUUGCGGGGCUCAACCCCGUACUGCCGUUGAAACUGCAUCCCUUGAGUGCGCGAGAAGUAUGCGGAAUGCGUGGUGUAGCGGUGAAAUGCAUAGAUAUUGCGCAGAACUCCGAUUGCGAAGGCAGCCUACCGGCUCCUGUCUGACGCUGAGGCACGAAAGCGUGGGUAUCGAACAGGAGUAGAUACCCGAGUA
rnacentral:rRNA from 1 species